rnacentral:lncRNA from 10 species
CGAGCGGGCGCAGGACGAGCGAGCGCAGCGGGCGCGGGCGCACCGUCGGGGCGCGGGGACCCCGAGGGCCAGCGGAGCCGUGCUGCGCGCAGGGAUGGACGCUGGGCGCCCAAGGCCCGUUCCCGUGGACAGGCGCGCGGAGGGCAGCAGGACCGAUGCACCGACGGACGCACCGACGGACGCGCGGACAGAUGCGCCGACCGCAGGCUCUCCCGCCGUCCCGGGGCCGUCGUGCCCGUGCAGGCCGCGAGCAGCGGCGGGGCCGGCUCUGCGGCUGCAGCAGCCCCAUUGUGAGGCCGGCGAGACAAUGGGCGGCCCGAGGAGGCACCUGCUCGCCUGAAAGGCCCAUAAAUCGCCGCCGCGUCCAGCUGCCUUCCCGCCCCUCCCCGCGGACCCGCUAGCGGGAAGCGCGGCCGCGGCCGGGAGGGGGAGGCUCGGUCCGACAGUCGGGCAGGGCCGCCUGGGCCACCGCCGCGCGCUCCCUCCCGCCUGGGCGCAGCUGCCCGCACGCCCCGACGGGAGCUGCGCCCAGCCUCCCCUCUGGAGUCGGCGCUCCAGGCUGCUGCCCGGCCGGUGGCCAAGGCCCCAGCACCACCGUCCCUCCUGCAGGGCAUCCAGCACCUACCCUUCCACUGGGCGGCUCCUGGUUCUGGUCCCGGCUGGCUCACUCAGGCUGCCUUUGGACCAGAUUCUUGAACUUUUCCACCAAGGAUGUUGCUGCUGUUUGUAGCGUCGGAUCCUGGAAAAUCGCUGUGUUGGGGAGCAGCAGGCUCUCCCUUGCUCCCCCAGGGCCUGGGAAAAUCAACCCACCUCUGCCCCCCGACCCCAGGGCUGUAACCUGGUGUCUGGUAGCCCCACUGUGAUAAACCGAAGCCCAGCACAGUUUGGGACUCGCCCCGAGUUGACUUAUGCAGCCCCCAGAACAGAGGCUGAAACCCGGCGCAUCCUGGUGAAGCCACACCCAGCCGGCCUGGUCCCAGGCCCCGGGCACGGGGUCCCCUCCACUCCCAUCUGCUUCCCUUUCAGAGCCGGGGCUGAGUCGGCAGGGACGCAGGCUCAGGGCCCUGGAUUCCCGCUUUCUGGACACUUGCGUGCAUGCCCAGCACCAGCUCGCCCUUCUGAGAAAGCAAUCCCUCCUCAGAGGGGAGAAGCCGUGGCUGUGAUGGGCAGGAAGUGGUCAGGACCCACUGCCGAGCACCAACUCCCCAUGCCACCACCAGGGGUGCGCCUGGACUCCUGGAAAGGGGUCGCGUCAGGGUGCAGCCCAUCAAAGGCUUCCCAAGAGGCAAGAGGCAAGGAGAAGUGUCCUACUUUAAACGGCCAGCCUCAGUGGUCGGCCCUGUUCACUCUGCCACCUCAGAGAGAGUGAACCCAGCAGAGGUGUGACGGGAGGCUGGGGAGAGACCCCAGCACCUUGAGCACACAGGAGCCAGGAGGAGCCCAACAGAGCAGCAGGGGCUGGGGUCUUCUCCUGAAGCCUGACUCCAUGGGACCCCAAAGAAGCAGAUGGAAAACUGAAAAAGAAAACCCCUCAAGUGAGCCACUGGAAAGAAAGCAAAACAAGAGAAAAUAAAUGAGUUGUUUGACAUAAUUUAACUUGUCUGUUUUUCCAUCUUCCUUCCUGCUCACCCCACCAUCACCGUGGCCCCAUCUAGUUGAGGCACACAGCUCUGGGCUUAAAGGAACCAAGGGGCAUGUCUCAGAGCAGUCUCCAAAUUGGGUGCUAGGACCCAAGAAAUGCAGAGAGGGCAGUGGCUGUGAGAGAGGUUUGCAUAAGAAAACAGACAAGACAGAACUUGGUUUUAUCUUUUUUUUUUUUUUUUUUUUUUUGAGACAGAGUUCUGCUCUUGUUGCCCAGGCCAGAGUGCAAUGGUGUGGUCUGGGCUCACUGCAACCUCUGCCCCCCGGGUUCAAGCGAUUCUCCUGCCUCAGCCUCCCUCUCGAGUAGCUGGGAUUACAGGCGCCCACCACCACACUCAGCUAAUUUUUUUUUUUUUUUUUUUUGUAAUUUUAGUAGAGACAGGGUUUUGCCAUGGUGGCCAGGCUGGUCUCGAACUCUUGACCUCAGGUGAUCUGCCCGCCUGAGCCACCCAAAGUACUGGGAUUACAGGCAUGAUCCACCACGCAUGGCCAGUUUUGCCUUAAAACCACAGCUAGACUCCUCCACAGGGACCAGGACCUAGGCCAUGUCUGUCCUGGCUGCAGAGGUGGGUCAGCCCCAUACAGUGCUCUCUGGAAGAGAAACAGGGAGCAGCGUGGCUCCUGCACAGAGGCACCUGGCUGGCCCUUGGCCUACUGGUAGCCUCCAAGGGUAGAUGCCAGGUAUCUCAGUCCAUUUGUGCCACAGUAACAAAAUACCUGAGACUGGGUGAUUUAUUUUCUAUUUUUUAUUUAUUUAUUUAUUUAUUUAUUUUUGAGAUGGGGUUUUGCUCUUGCUGCCCAGAUUGGAGUGUGAUGGCACGAUCUUGGCUCACUGCAACCUCUGCCUCCCAGGUUCAAGCGAUUCUCCUGCCUCAGCCUCCUGACUAGCUGGGAUUACAGGCAUGUGCCACCACACCCGGCUAAUUUUGUAUUUUUAGUAGAGAUGAGGUUUCUCCAUGUUUGUCAGGCUGGUCUCGAACUCCUGACCUCAGGUAAUCCACCCACCUUGGCUUCCCAAAGUGCUGGGAUUACAGGUGUGAGCCACUGCGCCUGGCUAAUUUUCUAGGUUUAGUAGAGAUGGGGUUUCUCCAUGUUGGUCAGGCUGGUCUUGAACUCCUGACCUCAGGUGAUCCACGAGACUGGGUGAUUUAUAAAUAACAGAAAUGUAUUUCUCACCGUUCUGGAGGCUGGGAAGUCCAAGAUCAAGGUGCCAGUGCAAUCAGGGUCUGGUGAGGGCUCUCUGCUUCCAAGAUGGCACUGUGUUGUAAGUGAAGCGAACGCUUUGGGAAGCCUCUUUUAUAAAAGCUUUAAUCUCACUCAGAGGGAGGAACCCUCAGGCUUAAAUACCUCCUAAAGGCCCUAUUUCUUUCUCUCUUCUUUUUUUUUUUUUUUUUUUUUUUGUGAGACACAGUCUUGCUCUGUUGCCCAGGCUGGAAUACAGUCGUACCAUCUCAGCUCACUGCAACCUCCACCUCCUGGGUUCAAGCAGUUCUCCCUGCCUCAGACUUCCAAGUACCUAGGUAACAGGUGCCCACCACCAUGCCCAGUUAAUUUUUGUAUUUUUAGUAGAGAUGGGGUUUCACCAUGUUGGCCAGGCUGGUCUCAAACUCCUGACGUCAGGUGAUCUGCCCACUUCGACCUCCCAAAGUGCUAGGAUUACAGGCGUGAGCCACUGUGCCUGGCCCUUUUUUUUUUUUUUUUUUUUUUUUUUUGACAGGAUCUGGCUCUCUGGCUCUGUCAACCAGGCUGUGGUACAGUGGCACGGUCAUGGCUCACUGCAACCUCCACCUCCCAGGCUUGAGUGAUCCUCCCAUCUCAGCCUCCUGACUAGCACGCAUCACCACACCUGGCUAAUAUUUCUUUUUUUGUAGAGAAAAGUUCUCCCUACAUUGCCCAGGCUGGUCUGAAAAUCCUGGGCUCAAGCAAUCCACUCACCUCAGCCUCCCAAAGUGCUGAGAUCACAGGCUUGAGCUACUGCGCCCAGCUUCCCACUUACAUUAAUACUAUCACAUUGGCCAGUAAGUUUCAGACACGAAUUCUGGAGGGGACAUAGUCAAACCCAGCACCAGGUCUCAGGUGUCCUUACUUCUCCCUCUGCAAUUCCGGCUUCACCACAGCCCUCAGGUGUAAGGCCUUGUUGUCCAGACCAUGUGCUUUUUCCCAGGACUGAGAGUGAAGUGCUGAGGUUGCAUGAUAAAAACCCAUGUGACUAUAUGACCAUUAAAGUGAAUAGCCCCCAGAGCACUGGGCGGUGGGGACCGGGGCUCCCUCCUACACAGACAGACCAAUUAAGGUCUUCCAGGCCUGCAUGUAGGCCAGGCUACAGGGAUGGAAUCAGCACCCAGCUAGAGCAGAAGGGUCUAAAGGAACCAAAAGGGGUUCUGGGACAAAUCUCAAACCAUGGGCAAGCUUCGCUCAAGCACUCAAGGAACAUUCGAGCUAGAUGGGCCCUCAGAGACUCUGAUCCUAUGUUCUCCUUUCAGUGAGGGAAAAUUGAGGCCCAGGGAGGCUUCUGCACCCUAGACAGGCCCCACUCCUUAGAGGGACCAGUGAGGGGAAGUCAGACCCCAGCAAGACGGAGGAAGUCCCAAAUUGGAGACAAUCAGAAAGACAACACCAGUGCAGACCCUAAACCAACACCCCACCUGCUCCAAGCUGGGCUCCAGUCGCCUAAGGAUGAGCUGGGCCCAUGCAAACUCCCUGUGUGUUUCCUGCAUGUGGGCCACCAGGCAACCACCCUCUAACUUGAACCCCUGCCCACAGACCCCAGUACCACCCAAUGGUUGGCCAGGGGCACCCCCAAAGGAUUGGAUCAUGCCGAAGGUAGCCACAGGCAGAUGACAGUGUCAAAGGGAAGGGGGAUAAGUGGUUUUUGUUCACGCAGACCAUAGGAGUGAAGGUUGUAGCAUUCCCAAAUGUAAGUCCGCGUGGCUAAGACCACGGGCAGGGCUCCCCAGCUGGCCUGGCUCCCAGUGUCUGUGCAUUAUCGUGUGCGUGUGAGGCAUUUCCACUUGGAUUACUAUUUCAGCUCCCAAAAAUGGAUCAGUGGCUCACAGGAGGAUCCAGGAAGCAGCAAAUAUUGACCCGUCAGGAUUUCAAGGUGAACGUGGGAUGUCCCCUACAUGCAGGGACCGUCCACCAAGUGUGACACUGGACACAGGAUGUCCUGGAUUUGUCCCAGGUGCAUGGUCUCUUAAGACACUUGGCCAGAUGGUGGCGUGAGGCCAGCAGUGGUUUUGUGUCAUUUUCAAGCAAAGCCCAGGGCCUUCCCUGGGAGCUAGCAUUGUUAUUCUAGAAUGAGUGGAAAGGGACACUUUCCAGGGCAAAGCUGAUGUGCACCACACUGAAGAUGGGAAAGAACCCACGCUGUAUCUUCCUGUCCACAUUGCAUUUGUAAGAAUGAAACUUGCGUGAGUUGCACGGAGGAAGAAUUUGCAGUUGGGGGAAUGCAGUGUCUGGGAUCUGCUUUUUUUGUUGUUGGUUUUUUUCAAUAGAGACAGGGUCUCGCUAUGUUGCCCAGGCUGAUCUCCAACUCCUGGGCUCAAGCAGUCCUUCUACCUCAAUCUCCCAAAGUGCUGGGAUUACAGGCAUCACCCACUGUGCUCAGCCAGGGAUCUGCUUUAUGAAACUGCAGAAAGGAAAAAAAAGUAAAAGUGGAGGUGGGAAACAGAUUGACAAGAUUGGAAAAAUGUUAAUGAUGGUUGAAACUGGCUGGUGAUGUACUAUUCUAUUGCUUUUGAGUAUGUUUGCAAAUUUCCAUAAGAAUGCUUUGUAAGGAAGUAGCAGUGAUACUGUUACAUAUUGCUGAGAAAAUGUAAAACCAAAUACAAAGUUAACAAAAAGAGAUAAAUUAUGUACAUAUAGACAAUAUAUGCACACAUACAUACAUGUGUUGUGUGUAUACAUACACAUUAUGUGUACGUGUGUAUGUCUAUAACAUAUAGACACAUACAUGUUAUGUACACGCACAUAAAAGAAGGCAGAAAGGCUGUGGGCAGAUACCCUGAUCAAGAGUUUUUGUGACAUCAUCACAGUGGCCUUGCAGCCCUUACUCAGGGGUCCUUGCUGACAUGAACUCACAGCAGUGUGCCUCUCAACUAGGCCUGCAUCUUUCUAAUUUGCUAGACAGGAAGCCACUCCUGGCACUUGGUCAGGUCAAACACAAGAAGUGUUUGAUGAUUUUUUUUUAAUUCUGUUAAUUACUGAAAAUCCAUGCUAGAGGAAAAAAAUUGUUUUUAUUUUGAAUUUACUUAUUUAUUGAGACAGAGUCUUGCUCUGCUGCCCAGGCUGGAAUGCAGUGGUGUGAUCACGACUCACUGCAGACUUGACUUCCCAGGCUCAAGCAAUCCUCCCAUCUCAGCCCCCAAGUAGCUGGGACCACAGGUACACGCCACCACGCCCAGAUAAUUUUUAUAUUUUUUGUAGUGACAGGGUCUCACUGUAUUGCCUAGGCUGGUCUCAAACUUCUGAGCUCAAGUGAUCCUCACACCUUGGCCUCCCAAAGUGCUGGGAUUAUAGGCUGUUUUGAAUUCAGGUAACAAUUGCUUGUGGGUCCUGAAGUAAACCCCCCCAAACAUGCUGGCUAUCAAUCAAUCACCAGGGUUGGGUUCUGUAAGAAGGGUGUUGGGGCAAAGAUGGCUGCAAACCCUUUGCCACUCAAGCAGAAAGGAUCCCCCUGCCAUGAAUCUGGGAUGGUGUCAGUAGCUUGCUUGAUCAAUCAAAUGAGGCAGACAUGAUGCUGCAUAGCUUCCGAGGCCAGGUCUCUAGAGCUGCUCCUAGGCCUCCUGGAACACCUGCUCUUGAAACCCAGCUGCCAUGCCAUGAGGAAGCCCAAGCAG